AUUGAACGCUGGCGGCAUGCCUUACACAUGCAAGUCGAACGGCAGCACGGGUGCUUGCACCUGGUGGCGAGUGGCGAACGGGUGAGUAAUACAUCGGAACAUGUCCUGUAGUGGGGGAUAGCCCGGCGAAAGCCGGAUUAAUACCGCAUACGAUCUACGGAUGAAAGCGGGGGACCUUCGGGCCUCGCGCUAUAGGGUUGGCCGAUGGCUGAUUAGCUAGUUGGUGGGGUAAAGGCCUACCAAGGCGACGAUCAGUAGCUGGUCUGAGAGGACGACCAGCCACACUGGGACUGAGACACGGCCCAGACUCCUACGGGAGGCAGCAGUGGGGAAUUUUGGACAAUGGGCGAAAGCCUGCUCCAGCAAUGCCGCGUGUGUGAAGAAGGCCUUCGGGUUGUAAAGCACUUUUGUCCGGAAAGAAAUCCUUGGCCCUAAUACGGUCGGGGGAUGACGGUACCGGAAGAAUAAGCACCGGCUAACUACGUG
rnacentral:rRNA from 1 species